GGAGAAAGCAGGGGACCUUCGGGCCUUGCGCUAUCAGAUGAGCCUAGGUCGGAUUAGCUAGUUGGUGGGGUAAUGGCUCACCAAGGCGACGAUCCGUAACUGGUCUGAGAGGAUGAUCAGUCACACUGGAACUGAGACACGGUCCAGACUCCUACGGGAGGCAGCAGUGGGGAAUAUUGGACAAUGGGCGAAAGCCUGAUCCAGCCAUGCCGCGUGUGUGAAGAAGGUCUUCGGAUUGUAAAGCACUUUAAGUUGGGAGGAAGGGCAGUUACCUAAUACGUAAUUGUUUUGACGUUACCGACAGAAUAAGCACCGGCCG
rnacentral:rRNA from 1 species